rnacentral:rRNA from 1 species
GACGAACGCUGGCGGCGUGCUUAACACAUGCAAGUCGAACGGAAAGGCCCUGCUUUUGUGGGGUGCUCGAGUGGCGAACGGGUGAGUAACACGUGAGUAACCUGCCCUUGACUUUGGGAUAACUUCAGGAAACUGGGGCUAAUACCGGAUAGGAGCUCCUGCUGCAUGGUGGGGGUUGGAAAGUUUCGGCGGUUGGGGAUGGACUCGCGGCUUAUCAGCUUGUUGGUGGGGUAGUGGCUUACCAAGGCUUUGACGGGUAGCCGGCCUGAGAGGGUGACCGGCCACAUUGGGACUGAGAUACGGCCCAGACUCCUACGGGAGGCAGCAGUGGGGAAUAUUGCGCAAUGGGCGGGAGCCUGAUGCAGCAACGCCGCGUGCGGGAUGACGGCCUUCGGGUUGUAAACCGCUUUCGCCUGUGACGAAGCGUGAGUGACGGUAAUGGGUAAAGAAGCACCGGCUAACUACGUG